rnacentral:rRNA from 1 species
AGCGUACACGGUGGAUGCCUUGGCAGUCAGAGGCGAUGAAAGACGUAGUAACUUGCGAUAAGCCCAGAUUAGGUAGUAACAACCAUUUGAGUCUGGGAUUUCUGAAUGGGGAAACCCACGUGCAUAAGCACGUAUCCUUACCUGAAUACAUAGGGUAAGGAGGCGAACCGGGGGAACUGAAACAUCUAAGUACCCCGAGGAAAAGAAAUCAACCGAGAUUCCGAAAGUAGCGGCGAGCGAAAUUGGACUAGCCCUUAAGCUUUACACGCGUUAGACGAACGGUCUGGAAAGUCCGACGAUACAGGGUGAUAGUCCCGUAGUUGACGACGUGUGUUCAGUGAAAUCGAGUAGGGCGGGACACGUGAUAUCCUGUCUGAAUAUGGGGGGACCAUCCUCCAAGGCUAAAUACUACUGACUGACCGAUAGUGAACCAGUACCGUGAGGGAAAGGCGAAAAGAACCCCUGUGAGGGGAGUGAAAUAGAACCUGAAACCGUGUACGUACAAGCAGUAGGAGCAGGCUUUGUCCUGUGACUGCGUACCUUUUGUAUAAUGGGUCAGCGACUUAUAUUCAGUGGCAAGGUUAACCAUCUAGGGGAGCCGUAGGGAAACCGAGUCUUAACUGGGCGUUCAGUCUCUGGAUAUAGACCCGAAACCAGGUGAUCUAGCCAUGGGCAGGUUGAAGGUUGAGUAACAUCAACUGGAGGACCGAACCGACUAAUGUUGAAAAAUUAGCGGAUGACUUGUGGCUAGGGGUGAAAGGCCAAUCAAACCUGGAGAUAGCUGGUUCUCCCCGAAAGCUAUUUAGGUAGCGCCUCGGACGAAUACUACUGGGGGUAGAGCACUGUUAAGGCUAGGGGGUCAUCCCGACUUACCAACCCUUUGCAAACUCCGAAUACCAGUAAGUACUAUCCGGGAGACACACGGCGGGUGCUAACGUCCGUCGUGGAGAGGGAAACAACCCAGACCGCCAGCUAAGGUCCCAAAUUACUACUAAGUGGGAAACGAUGUGGGAAGGCUCAGACAGCCAGGAUGUUGGCUUAGAAGCAGCCAUCAUUUAAAGAAAGCGUAAUAGCUCACUGGUCGAGUCGGCCUGCGCGGAAGAUGUAACGGGGCUAAGUAGUAAACCGAAGCUGCGGCAAUGUGCUUUUGCACAUUGGGUAGGGGAGCGUUCUGUAAGCGGUUGAAGGUGUGUGGUAACGCAUGCUGGACGUAUCAGAAGUGCGAAUGCUGACAUGAGUAACGAUAAAGGGGGUGAAAAACCUCCUCGCCGGAAGACCAAGGGUUCCUGUCCAACGUUAAUCGGGGCAGGGUAAGUCGACCCCUAAGGCGAGGCCGAAAGGCGUAGUCGAUGGGAAACGGGUUAAUAUUCCCGUACUUCUUACAAUUGCGAUGGGGGGACGGAGAAGGCUAGGUGGGCCUGGCGACGGUUGUCCAGGUUCAAGUGCGUAGGCUUGAGAGUUAGGUAAAUCCGGCUCUCUUUAAGGCUGAGACACGACGUCGAGCACUACGGUGGUGAAGUCAUUGAUGCCAUGCUUCCAGGAAAAGCCUCUAAGCUUCAGAUUGUAAGGAAUCGUACCCCAAACCGACACAGGUGGUCGGGUAGAGAAUACCAAGGCGCUUGAGAGAACUCGGGUGAAGGAACUAGGCAAAAUGGUACCGUAACUUCGGGAGAAGGUACGCUCUCGACGGUGAAGUCCCUUGCGGAUGGAGCUAUUGAGAGUCGCAGAUACCAGGUGGCUGCAACUGUUUAUUAAAAACACAGCACUGUGCAAAAUCGUAAGAUGACGUAUACGGUGUGACGCCUGCCCGGUGCCGGAAGGUUAAUUGAUGGGGUUAGACUUCGGUCGAAGCUCUUGAUCGAAGCCCCGGUAAACGGCGGCCGUAACUAUAACGGUCCUAAGGUAGCGAAAUUCCUUGUCGGGUAAGUUCCGACCUGCACGAAUGGCGUAAUGAUGGCCACGCUGUCUCCACCCGAGACUCAGUGAAAUUGAAAUCGCUGUGAAGAUGCAGUGUACCCGCGGCUAGACGGAAAGACCCCGUGAACCUUUACUACAGCUUGGCACUGAACAUUGACCCUACAUGUGUAGGAUAGGUGGGAGGCUUUGAAGCACGUACGCCAGUAUGUGUGGAGCCGUCCUUGAAAUACCACCCUUGUAGUGUUGAUGUUCUAACGUUGACCCCUAAUCGGGGUUGCGGACAGUGCCUGGUGGGUAGUUUGACUGGGGCGGUCUCCUCCCAAAGAGUAACGGAGGAGCACGAAGGUGGGCUAAUCACGGUUGGACAUCGUGAGGUUAGUGCAAUGGCAUAAGCCCGCUUGACUGCGAGAAUGACAAUUCGAGCAGGUGCGAAAGCAGGUCAUAGUGAUCCGGUGGUUCUGAAUGGAAGGGCCAUCGCUCAACGGAUAAAAGGUACUCCGGGGAUAACAGGCUGAUACCGCCCAAGAGUUCAUAUCGACGGCGGUGUUUGGCACCUCGAUGUCGGCUCAUCACAUCCUGGGGCUGAAGUCGGUCCCAAGGGUAUGGCUGUUCGCCAUUUAAAGUGGUACGCGAGCUGGGUUUAGAACGUCGUGAGACAGUUCGGUCCCUAUCUGCCGUGGGCGUUGGAAGAUUGAAGGGGGCUGCUCCUAGUACGAGAGGACCGGAGUGGACGAACCUCUGGUGUUCGGGUUGUGUCGCCAGACGCAUUGCCCGGUAGCUAAGUUCGGAAUCGAUAACCGCUGAAAGCAUCUAAGCGGGAAGCGAGCCCUGAGAUGAGUCUUCCCUGAUACUUUAAGUAUCCUAAAGGGUUGU